ensembl:miRNA
UAUGGCUUUCUAUUCCUAUGUGAUUUUCUCUGGCAUGUCACAUAGGGUCUAAAGCCAUUGG